CAAUGACAUAAUGCCUCAUGGUUAAACAUCAUUGUCAUUUGUCUAGAUUUCCCAUAACCAUGGAAACACACCCCUGGGUCUCCAGAAAGAUUUUAUUGAAGAGGAUAGACCUACCCUGAAUGUGAGUGGUACCUUGAGGUUCUGGAUCACAUAAAAAGGAAACUCAAGCUUGGCACUAGACGUCAUCUCUUUGCUUCCUGACUGGAUACAACAUGAACAGUGGCCUUACUCUCCUGCCCUAUCUGUACACCAAAAUAAACUCUGACUUGAGAAGUAAAGUGACUAACACAUGCCUCUAGUCACUGGAGUCUAGUGCCCAUUGAUGGAGUCUGGUGCCCUUCGAAUGUACUUUGAAUGAAGGAACAAAGGCAGAAGAGGCACGGAUAUGACAGAGGCAACGUGGACACUGGUAUCUGAGUGAAGAAUUCAUGGCAACAGAGUCAGGACCUUCAGCAAGGAGCAGAGGAUGGAAGAGGCAACACAGAACUAAUCUAAUGGGACAACGCUGCCCUAGGAGCCAGGAGCCACUCACGUGGCUCCAAUUGCUUUAUUAAAUCAAGAUUAUGGCAAGUAUGGAAGCUGAGAGGCCUGUUCAUAAACAAUCUCAGUCACCUGGUUGGAAGAGGAUGCAGCUUGGAGCAGAUAUGGAGACGGUGGGAAGUUGCCGUUUUGAUCCUGUAAGAAUUAUUUGAAGAAUGGGAGUGGGGUAUACAAUAGAAAUUCCAAAUGACUUUCCUGUGCUUCACC
ensembl:lincRNA 5330416C01Rik RIKEN cDNA 5330416C01 gene